rnacentral:hammerhead_ribozyme from 1 species
AUCCAGGUGACGAGUCCAAAAUAGGACGAAAUGCGUAUCCUGGAU